rnacentral:tRNA from 1 species
GGGGACGUAGCUCAGCGGGAGAGCACCUGCUUUGCACGCAGGGGGUCGGGGGUUCGAAUCCCCUCGUCUCCACCA